AUGCACGCUGGCGGUAUGCUUAACACAUGCAAGUCGAACGGACUCUUCGGAGUUAGUGGCGGACGGGUGAGUAACGCGUGAGAAUCUGGCUUUGGGUUCGGGACAACCACUGGAAACGGUGGCUAAUACCGGAUGUGCCGAGAGGUAAAAGAGAAAUUGCCUGAAGAUGAGCUCGCGUCUGAUUAGCUAGUUGGUGAGGUAAAGGCUCACCAAGGCAGCGAUCAGUAGCUGGUCUGAGAGGAUGACCAGCCACACUGGGACUGAGACACGGCCCAGACUCCUACGGGAGGCAGCAGUGGGGAAUUUUCCGCAAUGGGCGAAAGCCUGACGGAGCGAUACCGCGUGAGGGAAGAAGGCUCUUGGGUUGUAAACCUCUUUUCUUAGGGAAGAACAAAAUGACGGUACCUAAGGAAUCAGCAUCGGCUAACUCCGUG
rnacentral:rRNA from 1 species